ensembl:ncRNA T07H6.8 ncRNA
UGCGAAAGGUCGAAUAUUCAAAGAAAAAGCCGUGCGCCCAGGCGGCUUCUUCAUUGUUUUCUAUUUUCCUCUCUGCCACACUCGACUCAUCACACAAAAGCCCGUUUCUUACACAGUUUUUUUGGGUUGCCUGGUGG